rnacentral:lncRNA from 1 species
GAAAAGCAACCCAGCCCAGGGAAACACGCAAGUGCCAAGCCAAGGUUACAAAGUCUUACAGUCAUCUGAGCCUCAACAACCAAAUCACCAAUAUGAAAGUAGUAGAUCCUGGAACAGAGAUGUGAGGCUCAGCCCAGAAGCGAGGCUAGCCCAUCUAGCCCUCCAAAAAACCAACCAAAGAGAAAAUAACCUCGACAAGCAAACAAAGGAGAUUUGCUGCAAUAUGAACAUGGUAAAUUUACAUUUCUUGAUUUGUUGUCUGUGCCGAGACAUGAUGUGUGCAGAGGUGAGAGGACACCUUCCAGGAAGGAGUUGGUUCUCUUUUCCCACCACAUGAGGCCCAGGGAUCAGUCAGCCAUGGUGACAAGGGCUUUUACCGGAGUGCUCACAGGAGACAUCUGUCCUAAACCAGAAUCUGCAUUUCAAAAAGGAAGAGGAGGAGGAAGAAGAGGCAGCAGCAACAGUAACAACAACGACAACAAAGUAGACUAAAGUCACACCUAAAAUUUCUUCAGGCAAAGAUAGAAUCAAGCAACAAGUAUCCAGGUCACUUUACAUAAGCUGGGAAGGUGUCAGACAGAAACACUCCCCGGAAUCUCAGAAGUCAUUCUGAUUCACACAGACUUCUCCACAGGUGGAACGGCAAGCAAUGAGAAAUAUGCAGACAUUGAGACUUUCCACUCAGUCCUGACGAACUCUCUAGGCUUGGAUGGAGAAGAGACAGGUCCCACAAGGUCAACUGGUUCAGUCAGCUGCAUUCGGGCUGUUUCCUCAUCUGUGAAGGAGUACUAGUGGUAGUGUCUUACUUAUCUCUUAGGCUCAUGGAAAAAAUGAAUGGAGAAGGCACUGCCCAGGGCAG